CACCCUCACAAGUUCACUCGUGACUCGACCAUAUCACUUAUCAGAGAAGAAAACUAAGAUAAAGCAGAAGAAUGGAUUGAAUCUAAGGAAGUGACGGGAGCCUGAAUUUCAAUACACUGCAGGUGCUGAUGUUAAAAUUGGAGUAGUUUUUGUAUCCACAUGUAAAUACUCUAAACAGUGAUUUAGGUAUGGUUCAUAAAUUUUUUUUUGUGAAUGUUAAGAUUUUUGGUUUUGACCCAGGACUGAAAAGUCCUGGCUCCCUCGCUACAUUUGCUUUUGAUUUUUGGGAUUAAUUUUUGCUUCUUUAGCAACAUUUGUAUUUCUGCUUCUCGGCCUUUGGGGUGUAUAGAGCAAGUCACUGAGACUUCCCAUAUCACUAUUCGAAUUUUAAAAACCCGACAAGAUUAGUUUUCAA